rnacentral:rRNA from 1 species
GGGGAAUUUUGGACAAUGGGGGAAACCCUGAUCCAGCCAUGCCGCGUGCAGGAUGAAGGCCUUCGGGUUGUAAACUGCUUUUGUACGGAACGAAAAGGUCUUUUCUAAUAAAGAAGGCUGAUGACGGUACCGUAAGAAUAAGCACCGGCUAACUACGUGCCAGCAGCCGCGGUAAUACGUAGGGUGCGAGCGUUAAUCGGAAUUACUGGGCGUAAAGCGUGCGCAGGCGGUUAUGCAAGACAGAUGUGAAAUCCCCGGGCUCAACCUGGGAACUGCAUUAGUGACUGCAUAGCUAGAGUGCGGCAGAGGGGGAUGGAAUUCCGCGUGUAGCAGUGAAAUGCGUAGAUAUGCGGAGGAACACCGAUGGCGAAGGCAAUCCCCUGGGCCUGCACUGACGCUCAUGCACGAAAGCGUGGGGAGCAAAC